UUUUUACUUAUGUUCUAAAAUUGAAACAUGUCAAUACUUGUUAUAUUGAAUUAACUUUACUACUAAUUGAUUUAAAGUGAAUGUUGAUAGUGCAUGUUGGAAGUCUCACGUAGACUAAAGAUAAGACUAAUUUAUAAUAUAUAAGUGGAUGCAAAUCUCACCUUAUAAGUUGGUGUUGUGGGGUUGAGUUAGGCCUAAAGUCCACUUCUUAACAUGAUGUCAGAGCUAUGGUUAGAGCAUAUCCUAGCGAUAUCUGUUGUUUGUUGGGCAUGUUAUUCCAUCCGCUAAUAUUUUUAGAAGAAAUUAGGGUGAAUAUGUCGAUAGUUUUUCAAUCUUUUUAAGAGUACAAUCUUCUAUUUGUGCCUAAUUUAGGCAGGCUAUUUAUGUAUUAAUGUAUUAGAGCAUGCUUGGAGAGUUGACUUUUAAAGACUUUGGUGGGGAAGUGAUUUUUCUUUAGCGUGUCAUAGUUUUUAUCAUGAAUUUUGUCUUGGAAAGUGAAGUGUAAUUUUUAUCAUGGGUUUGGUGUGG
rnacentral:lncRNA from 1 species